GUGAGGAAUAUUGCGCAAUGGAGGCAACUCUGACGCAGCCAUGCCGCGUGCAGGAAGAAGGCGCUACGCGUUGUAAACUGCUUUUAACCGGGAAGAAACCCCAGGACGUGUCCUGGGUUGACGGUACCGGAGGAAUAAGCACCGGCUAACUUCGUGCCAGCAGCCGCGGUAAUACGAAGGGUGCAAGCGUUAUCCGGAUUCAUUGGGUUUAAAGGGUGCGUAGGCGGAGCGUUAAGUCAGUGGUGAAAUCCUGCAGCUUAACUGUAGACUCGUCAUAGAUACUGGCGCUCUUGAGUGACCUUGAAGUGGGCGGAAUGUGCCGUGUAGCGGUGAAAUGCUUAGAUAUGGCACAGAACACCAAUUGCGAAGGCAGCUCACUAAGGCGAUACUGACGCUGAGGCACGAAAGCGUGGGGAUCGAACAGGAUUAGAUACCCGAGUAGUCC
rnacentral:rRNA from 1 species